AUACAAAUCAUCUGGUGAUCUUGUUAAAAAAUGCAAAUUCUGAUUUAGUAGGUCUGGGAAGGGGCCUGAGAUUCUGCAUUUAUCACAAGCUCCCAAGUGAGGCUGAU
rnacentral:miRNA from 1 species